rnacentral:rRNA from 1 species
GACGUAGGGGACGAGCGUUGUCCGGAAUCACUGGGCGUAAAGCGCACGUAGGCGGCUUGUUAAGUCAGGGGUGAAAUCCUGGAGCUCAACUCCAGAACUGCCUUUGAUACUGUCGGGCUAGAGUCCGGAAGAGGCGAGUGGAAUUCCCGGUGUAGCGGUGAAAUGCGCAGAUAUCGGGAGGAACACCAAUGGCGAAGGCAGCUCGCUGGGACGGUACUGACGCUGAGACGCGAAAGCGUGGGGAGCAAACAGGG